CUGCAUGGCUGUCGUCAGCUCGUGUUGUGAAAUGUUGGGUUAAGUCCCGCAACGAGCGCAACCCUUAUCCUUUGUUGCCAGCGGUCCGGCCGGGAACUCAAAGGAGACUGCCAGUGAUAAACUGGAGGAAGGUGGGGAUGACGUCAAGUCAUCAUGGCCCUUACGACCAGGGCUACACACGUGCUACAAUGGCGCAUACAAAGAGAAGCGACCUCGCGAGAGCAAGCGGACCUCAUAAAGUGCGUCGUAGUCCGGAUUGGAGUCUGCAACUCGACUCCAUGAAGUCGGAAUCGCUAGUAAUCGUGGAUCAGAAUGCCACGGUGAAUACGUUCCCGGGCCUUGUACACACCGCCCGUCACACCAUGGGAGUGGGUUGCAAAAGAAGUAGGUAGCUUAACCUUCGGGAGGGCGCUUACCACUUUGUGAUUCAUGACUGGGGUGAAGUCGUAACAAGGUAACCGUAGGGGAACCUGCGGUUGGAUCAC
rnacentral:rRNA from 1 species